CAGAGAACACUCCCCUGUGUAAACUCGAAUGCUGGAAAGGGUCUUCACUGUCACUUCACUGACAGAAGCUGCCCAGGAGAGCUGUGGUGUGAGUAACCUAUGUGAGUAAAUAACUUCACCACCGAAUUUGUCUGCAGCUUCUUUCUGCUGAGAGGGUGUGGAGGCAGCGUCCAAUAAUAUUUUAUCAUGGGCAAACCAGCAGUGAAAAGCAGGAAGAGAAUACUGCUGUCUCCAGGCCACUAAUGAAAUUGACAGACACCAUAAUGGACAAUAUAUGAAGGACGAAAACCAAAGUUUUAUUUCCAGUGACCUGCUGCAUUUAGAACAACUAUCCAAUAUCACAGACAAUUCUCCUGGGAAGAUGCUGCUGCAAAUCAAAAGUGCCCUGUAGAGUCUUUCUCCUGGUGGACUACUACAAUUCUUGGAGUAACUGAAGUCCACAGGUGACCAAUGUGGCUGGAAGCCACUUCUGCUACCUCAUAUCCUCUUUGGUCAACAAGAAAACAUUUGCUUGCUUCUUCAGCUUGCUACUGUGCAAUCUUCUGCAUGACUGUAGCAAAACAAGUAGUACAGCACGUUAGUGCAGUACGAUGUCCAUCCAAAAAGCCUGAUUUUAUCUUCCUAGGUUUUUUCAAGAAGUCCUUCAAAAUAAUAGGACUUAUAUGCAAUAAGUAAAAGCUGUCAGGUUCUCCAGUCAUAUUACCAUUGUUGCUGGUGGAAUGACUCCCAAUUUCUUCCAUUAAGCAAGAAAGGAGCCUGACAGGAGUUUAGAAAGGGCCUUUAUGCUACUGAAAUAAAACACAGCUUCUACUGUGAAGGUCUGAUAAUCCACAAACCCAGAGCAGCUGGCCAUCUUUCUCUUUUCUGACAUUUUGCAGGAGGCAUGCUGCCAAGAUCUGAAAUACAUUGUUAAAAAUACAGUGCAUUUUCAUUAGGGAAUUCUAGGUUUCUCUGAGGUGAAGCUGUCUCCACGGGGAGUGAGAAGCAUGUAAGGGGUUGUUUUGCAGCAGCAACAGCUUCCCAAGGGCAUUCCCUGGGAUAUGGGACAAAACACACCAGCCUGUUGUUAAAGAUGCAGUGUUAGGGAGAAAAGGGACUUGAGCGUUUAACUAGAAAAGGUAGGUAUGAAACGAAAAGACAAUCUCCUCUUGGCACACUGAGGAUCUUAUCAGAAAGCAAAACUGGUGGUUUUGGAAGGUGCUGAAGGAAAUGGUAGAAGAGGGAGGGAGUAGCGUUCCACUACAGUUACCAGAAGGGCUUUGGUAAACAAUAGCAAAAAUAGGCGCACUGCCUAAUCCGUGCUGACGGAUGACUGCCGCCUCACUCCACGCUGCUUUCUCUGGACAGCUUUCCAAUCUGGCUGCCCAUGCCGGUGGCAGAGCUGCUGGGGACUCUUACAGAGACGGCUCGGUGGCCAGCCAAGCCCGCUGAGCAUUUCACUCCGUGCCACAAAUAGCUGUGUGCGGAGCAGUCACGGCUCCAAACAAGGUGCUUGGCAAAGGCAGCUGCUGCUUGGCAACCUAUUUGUGCCACCGUGACAUAUCAGUGCACCGUCGGGACAGGCGGGGGGGAUAAGUAAGCAGUGCGUCCCACCACUUCCCUCACAGCUCUAUUAUGACCAUUAGGACAGCCAGAAACAGAAGAAGGAAAUAUGUCACAAAAGUCAGAAACCAAAUUUCUCUUGCUGGACAAAAGGCUCCAAAAGAUCAGAAAGGUUCAUCUAUAAAGACACAUCACAGAAUGACUUUGAAUCUGCUGGCAAAAUUGAGCAGUAUCAUCAAAAAGCCCCGCUCAUAGAGCAUUAUAUUUAAAGCCAUCAUGUCAGAAUUCAACCAGCAACUACCUAAAAUAAGAAUUUCUACAAAACUCUCAGAUAAAAUAAUGAAAACUGAACAACGGCAGCCUAAAGCUGCUAUGACGAAUCAAGCAAGGAAAAAAACCCCAUGUACUACACCAUCAGAUAAUACACAUGAAAACUCAAAGCACUGAGUGACUUAAAUAAAUGCCCUGAGACUGCUGGGUGCAAGGCAAGACCAGAGGAGUUAAUUGAAGGAAAAAACACUGAAUGCCACAAACUCCAUAGGAAGUGUCUGAGCCACAGCUGGUGGCAAGCUGGGGUUACUACCAAGGGCAAUCCCAUAAAAGGCUCACUCUUCUUCUACCUCCCUUCACAAGAAUCAACCUUUGGCCAUCCUCAGAAGCAGCAUACUUGGCAAGCUGUUCCAAUGCCUGGAAAGCAUCAUGUAAAAGGCUCAUGGUCCUCUUGAGGACACUGUGUCAGUUAGCUUCAGGUUUCCUAGAACAGCUCAGAGACCUCAAGAAAACAAAAUAAAAAAUAUACAGAAAGGGAAUCCAAACUUACAACCUUUAAACUUUUCUCCCAGAUACCUGCAAGUCAGUAAUUUUUAAUAAGUGGUAACACUGACAUAAUUCAGUUUUUCUCUUCUGUGUGUAAAUUCACUUCAGUGUGACAGGCUGUAUUCAAAGGACAGCUUAAUUAUAAUGAAGAAUAAUAAGCAAUCACAGUACCUUUUCUUUAGAGGACACCUCUGAUUAGGUAUCAUCGGGACACACGAUGAUAACAACAGUGAAAGAAAUGCACAAUUUACCUUUAGUUAGCUAAACCUGUAAAUAAGAGCAGUGAAAAUCUUAAUUGCUAUAAUUUAAAUCCUGAUCGAAGCUUAUAUGUCAACUAAAAUGAUAGAUUUAAGAAGAAAAGCAGUUACUGCUUUGGUUGAUGUUACACAAGCAGCUACCUCCGGAUAUUUGGAGUCAUGAGAGGUGAUAGUUCAGGCUAGCAAGUCAAGCAAAAUCACUUAGUUGUUAUGCAAGGUAGGAGACAAGGGGUGAGAAAGAAGGCAGGCAAAAAAGGGUGUGUUCCUUAGGAGUUAUUUUAACCCCUAGAGCAAUGAAAAGUACAGAACAAAUGAACAGUAAAGCCUCUAGUCAUGUUCAUAAUUAUAACUAAGGUGCAAUGCAAAUUCUAGGUAUCCCAAUAUUUAAAUCCAACCAUGAAACAUAUUUUUGCUGGCUGUAAGUUACUCUAAUUAAUGGUACCAAUUCAGUGUUACAUUUACAUGGAGAAAUCCCUUCUUCAAUUAGAGCAGCUAGCAGACAAGCUCAAGUGUUUUAGUUCAGAACGCCCAAGCACCUGAUUCAAAUGAAUAUUCAUAGCACUCAGCUCUCCACUAUUCUAGCAGAGUUAUUAGGGAGAAGCACAAUUUUUUUUUCUUAGCACUUAUUUUAAAGAUGUUCCUGCUUUAAUAAAUUAAUCACUUUUUUAACCAA